rnacentral:rRNA from 1 species
UACGUAGGGGGCUAGCGUUGUCCGGAAUCAUUGGGCGUAAAGCGCGUGUAGGCGGUCCGAUAAGUCCGCUGUGAAAGUCGAGGGCUCAACCCUCGAAUGCCGGUGGAUACUGUCGGGCUUGAGUACGGAAGAGGCGAGUGGAAUUCCUGGUGUAGCGGUGAAAUGCGCAGAUAUCAGGAGGAACACCAAUUGCGAAGGCAGCUCGCUGGGACGUUACUGACGCUGAGACGCGAAAGCGUGGGGAGCAAACAGG